GGAGUGAAAUCCUAGAAUGACA
rnacentral:snRNA from 1 species